CACAAAUUAAAAUGACAGUAAGCCCCAACAGUAGUGUAGUACUAGUAGAGUACUAGAGUAGAGCAGCAGCUAGGACUAGUAGUAGACUAGUGCAGUAGUGUUGGAGAGAGGAUGAGAGUAGAAAAGAGAAGAGAGAUAGAAGGAGCAGAGAGGAAGGAGAGGUGAGGAGAGGGAAAGGUUUAAAAAAGGCCUUAGAAACAUGUCUACCAUCAUUUGUUCAACAACUUAGAGCAUCAAGGCAUCAAAACAGAGAAGUAGGUUGAAGAGAGGAGAAGAGAGAGCCGCAGUGCUUUAGUAGUAAUAGCAGUGCUUUAGUAGUAGCAGCAGCAGAAGAG
rnacentral:lncRNA from 1 species